CUGCAGAAGAAAAAACUAGCCCUGAGAAACACCGCUCCUCCCGAUCUCCCGUCGAAAAGAAAAACGCAGGGACGAGUCGCUCCUGUCCCCUAGCCCCUCGCGCGCUAGGGUUCCUCACGGCGCCGUCGCUGUCGCCGCAUGGGUGUUCAUCCACUGGCCCUGCCUCCGGCGGCCGCCGCCGUAGCCGCCCACCUCCAUCCUCUCCCCAGCCCCGUCGGCCUCCACUUCACUCCCCUCCUCCGCGGGCGCCACCAAACCGCCGCCGCCCUCCCCCCGCACCCGCACCCAAGGACUCAGCCGGUGGCCAGAUCCGCCCCUCCCACUCACCCAACUCUCUCUUCGUCGCCGCCAUCUAGGCCGGCCGAUUCCGUAAUGAUCCGGCGCCGAUCCGUUCCUGUAGCCGCCGUCGUUCGCGUACAGAUCAGGCGCCGGUCCGCGGCCUGGAGUCUAGGAUGUCAGCGCCACCAGUUUACCGAUCAGGUCGUUAGCACUGCCGUCCAGGUGAUAAUAAACGCCGUUCACCACAACAAGAGGUGAACAACAAGAGGCGAGAGGCAGAUUCUAGAUAAGGGAGCAAACUGCGUAGCAAGAUCAAUAAUGAAUGGUUCAAGUCAUGUGUUACAAGUUACAAUGAGCAGGUGGUACUCAAGUCCGUUGAUGAUAAGGAUAUUAUUCGAACAUUUACUGCAAUGAGGUCUCGGAAAGGGCAUUUGCCUCGUGAUUGUCUUUAGUGCGCUGCCGGUAUUCGUUCGAGGAAGAUUUUGGAGCAGCAACAUACAAGCAGAGCUAAGAUUGGUCCAGCCACUUCAUUUAUUUUCUGAAAAGGAAUUGAUGAAAUGAGAGUAUAUUUUGAGAGAUCCAUCUAUAUGGUACGUUCAAUGCUGAUUUGAUAAUUUUGCGCAUGUCUCGUGCAGGCAUGCCAGCGCCUUCGUCGACUUCCACUCGCCAAUCUGUAACGCCUAUGCCCAUGGUGGCAGGUCACACUCUGAUGCAGCCGUGCACGCCGCCGCUACCAGACGACACCCCCAUCGAGUAAUACACCCCAGCCGAGAUUUUCUAUAUCAUCUCUGCCAAGGCGCAGUCAUCGGAAGAGAUUCAGGUAAGAUUAUCCUUGUUUUCUACAUCAAAUUUCUCAUGUUCAUCUGUCUAAUCUUUGAUACUACAUUUCUUAGCUAAUGUCCUCCUUGCCUGUACCAUGUUCAUAUGAUUAACAAAGGCUUGGCCAUCUUAAUAUAGUAGCCCGUGAGGUGGAUAUAUAUACUACUCCCUCCAUUCCUAAAUAUAAGUCUUUUUACAGAUUCCAAUAUGGACUACUGAGUGAAUCUACACUCUAAAGAAUGUCUAAAUGCAUCCGUAUGUAGUACAUAUUGAAAUCUCCAAAUGGACUUAUAUUUAGAAACAGAAGGAGUACUUCAGUUUGCAUGAGAGAAUAAUCACUUAUAUGUGUGCCUCGAUAUUAUAGUAGGAUUGCUUGGAUUAUUUCUGUAGUACUUUGUCCAAAAAUGUUGUUCUAAUCCCUAGCUCACUUGAACCUGGGUGAACAGUAAAAUAAUUAAAGAAUCUGAUAUAUUUUUUAGUGUGAAACAUUGACAAAUGUCUUCAUAGCAAAUAGAAAUUUGUCACCAGAUGACAUUCGUGGAAAAUAUGUCCAAAAAAUAGUUGCAAAUUUAUCACCAGAUAACAUUGUGGAAAAUAGUUGCGGCCGUACCGUGUGUUCUUUGUCGAAUUUGUGUUUGAUUUUUUCAUUAUAUAUUACUUCUUGCUUGCGCGAGGGUGGUUGUAGAUUUGUUAUUUUUUGCCCCGAAAAGAAGGUAACCGGAUUAGUAGUCUAAUUGAGUAGAUGCUGGUGAGGGAGGGUUACUUGAUUUUUAUUGAGUACAUUAUGCUCCGCUUUGUGAUGAGGUUUGAAAUUUGAUUGUUCUGAUGUGUAAUAGAGGGGGCAAAAGUGUUAUCCAUUUCAUUGUUUCUGUGCAUGUUUACGUUGACCAUCGGUGGCGGGAGGCGGCAUUGUUGGCGGCCGAAGGGGUGCUUGUGGAAGCAGGUGGUAUAGUCGGCAGCUGUGGGGAUUCGUUAUUCUCCGAGGUUGGCGGGCUCGACGCCAGGCUCGAUGGCGCUGCGGGAUUGUCAAGCAGGAAAAGUUCGUCAACUCGUCCAGUUUGAUGCUUUUCAACUGCUGGAUAAUGGUUUCGUGCCAUGCGUCGUCUCCAUGUAUUUACUAAAACAUUUACUAUGCUCUUCUAUUUGGAGAAAGAAGCCUGGUGCAGCCUACCAAGCUGGGGAGAGCCAUAGAAUGCCCAUCUUGGAAUUAGCUGUUCGACUGAAUGUCCGGGACAAAGAUAUUGCCACCUCCUUUGAGUAUGCUUGACUUGUAUAAUGCGAUUUUCAUUUAUUUAGAGUGAAUUACAUAAUAUAUAGAUAUGCAUUAUUAUGGCUUUA